rnacentral:rRNA from 1 species
AUUGAACGCUGGCGGCAGGCUUAACACAUGCAAGUCGAGCGAGCGGCGGACGGGUGAGUAAUGUCUGGGAAACUGCCUGAUGGAGGGGGAUAAUUACAGGAAACGGUAGCUAAUACCGCAUACCAUCAGAUGUGCCCAGAUGGGAUUAGCUAGUGGGUGGGGUAAUCGCUGACCUAGGCGACGAUCCCUAGCUGGUCUGGGAGGAUGACCAGCCACACUUGAGCGGUGCAACGGUCCAGACUGCUACGGGAGACAGCAGUGGGGAAUAGUGCACGAAGGGCGCGAGCCUGAUGGAGCCAGGCCGCAGGUGUGAAGAAGGCCUUCGGGUUGAAAAGCACUUUCAGCGAGAUGGCGGUACUCGCAGAAGAAGCACCGGCUAACUCCGUGCCAGCAGCCGCGGUAAUAC